rnacentral:rRNA from 1 species
UACGUAGGGGGCAAGCGUUGUCCGGAGUUACUGGGCGUAAAGCGCACGCAGGCGGUCUCUUAAGUUUGGAGUGACAGUUGGUGGCUUAACUGCCAAAGUGCUUCGAAAACUGAGAGACUUGAGGGCUUCAGAGGGACACGGAAUUCCGGGUGGAGUGGUGAAAUGCGUAGAGAUCCGGAGGAACACCAAAGGCGAAGGCAGUGUCCUGGGGAGUACCUGACGCUCAGGUGCGAAAGCCAGGGGAGCGAGCGGG